AGCGAACGCUGGCGGCAGGCCUAACACAUGCAAGUCGAACGAACCCUUCGGGAUUAGUGGCGGACGGGUGAGUAACACGUGGGAACGUGCCUUUAGGUUCGGAAUCACUCAGGGAAACUUGUGCUAAUACCGAAUGUGCCCUUCGGGGGAAAGAUUUAUCGCCUUUAGAGCGGCCUGCGUCUGAUUAGCUAGUUGGUGAGGUAAAGGCUCACCAAGGCUACGAUCAGUAGUUGGUCUGAGAGGAUGACCAGCCUCAUUGGGACUGAGACACGGCCCAAACUCCAACGGGAGGGAGCAGUGGGGAAUCUUGCGCAAUGGGCGAAAGCCUGACGCAGCCAUGCCGCGUGGAUGAUGAAGGUCUUAGAAUUGUAAAAUCCUUUCACCGGUGAAGAUAAUGACUGUAGCCGGAGAAGAAGCCCCGGCUAACUUCGUGCCAGCCGCCGCGGUAACAC
rnacentral:rRNA from 1 species